AUGUCUAGAAACAUAUAUCUUCUUCAUUAUUGUACCAUUCUUCAUUCUAUAUCAGUACGAGUCUCAUUGUAGGUUAAAGGAAAUUUUCGGUAACUGUUGGAAUAUAGUAGUUGUACGAUUUGAAUUUUACAGGAUUUUGGAAGUGGGACAAUGCUACAAGUUUAAGAGGUAAUAUAAAUUGUAAAUAAAUUACCAUAAAGAGAAAGAGGAGACUGAAGAGGGAAUUUCCGCAGAGACAGACAUGAAUAUGGCUUUUGAUGGUGAUAUAGUCGCAGUUGAGCAUUUGCCUCAAGAACAGUGGCACGAGGAGUAGUCUUUGGAAUUAGUUGAUGAAGGUUUGUCCACAUUGUUUUUUUACUUUGAUGAACAUGAUUUUCUUUUAUAUUGCAAAAUUGAUCUACUUUUCUUUCGAACUAGGCGAAAUGGCCUGGAUUUGUCCUCUAUUAACAAUUAGAUCAUCAUGAUAUGGACUUAUUGACUAACUUAAAACCAUUAAAGAGUUAUUAUUAUCUCAUAAGACUAAUUAGCACUAUCAUUUGUGUCAUACGUGGCUUAAAUUCACCCCUUCUACCUCCUCUUAACUCUCUACCCGGCCUCCAUUCAACCUAUCAAUCCUUCUCCAUCUACCAUCGUUAUCGUUGGCCAUGGUUAUGGUCAAGGGAAACAAUAACGUCAAUAUAUGCAUCUUAAGUUUAGAAUGUAUCUCUUAAUUUUGUUUUGCUAAUUUUUCUCUCCCUUUCUUAUUCUGCUUCUAAGGUUAAUGUUUUAUAAAUUUUUUCAUCAUGUGGUGACAACUAAUAUAUCCUUAUCUAGAGUUGGAUACAAAAUAUUACGAUUUAGGAAUAUUGAACUGUGAUGCCACUAACGAUCAAGUUAUUGUUGAAAAUGAUGAGGGAACUCUGAAGUAAGUUAGAUUAAUUGUUCUUCUUACUUAUUUCCAUCCAUUUCACUCUUAGAGAUUCAUUGUUUUAGGUGAUUAUUGUUUUUUUUCCUUCAGAAUUGAUGUAAAUUUAUAGUUUAUUAAAAUGAUCAGUUGAAGUUGAUUAAUAUAUUAGUUUGAGGAAUUAGCUUUCUUUGUGUUGUUGCAAAUUCUUUUGUAUUACACACCAAAGCUAGCAUGUAAGAAAUGAUGGAAUGCAUGUAGUCACCUUAGAUGAUAAAUUGGACAACACCUUAGUUGAAUUUUGAAUUUUGAAUUUAUCAAGAAAGUAUAGCAUGUCCAAUCAACCUAUGUGGCCAAUUCUCUUAAUGGUUGUUGGUAUUAGAAGUAGUUUUUCCUCCAUCUGAUGAAGUGGUAAGAAAGAUAAAUAUCAGCAUAUCUUGAGAAGCUUGCUACAUUCAUAAAGUAUAACCACCCCCAUAUUCCCAUUAUAAAAUCCUUAUCUCAAAUUAUGACAAACAUGAUAGCCAAAACAUGCAUAUUCCACUAAUAAAAACCAAAUAGUUGAUCUAAAAUAAUGAUGCGACUUACCUACAACACAUGCCAAAACACAAUCAAUAUAAUUGGAUUCUGUAGAUUUAAUUAUCUGAUUAAAGCUCAGAAAAACAGAUGAUCCUAAAAAGUGAACAUCUUGGUUGAAAAGAGAAGUAUCAUCACAAUUAGGAAGUAAGACACUAAAAUGGAAGCACUACAUAUCCUUUGUUUGAAAUAUAUUGAAACACUUGUAAAGUUAUUUCUUUAUUUUAGUAGCUAGAACUGACAUUUCAAUGAUAUUCUUAUGAUAUAACACUUUGCCUUGAUCAUGUAGUUGAAUACGUGAUUUAGCUUAGUCGUACGUAAAUAUAAAGAAAAUAAUAUCAAGGUAUUCUUUGACUUAAAAAAUAGCAUGUAUUGCUGAGAUAAAAAGAUAAUUAUCAAUCAAAUUGCUUAAUAUGAGUGAGGGCUUCAUUUAAGAUCUAAAUUGAGUAUUUGGUUGUUAUUACUAAGUGUAGUAUUACUAAUACCUUUCUUCUUAUUAAUUUUCUACUAUAUAAAACAUAAUAGACUGAUUCUUUUUGCUAGGCAGUCAUUAGGUGGGAGAAAAUUAACAAUUUGAUUCUUAACCUUCAGUUUUAUUAUAAGAUUAAGGAAAGACCUCCCAGGCCGUAUGCCCAUGGGAUGGGGUAGGACUCUUCAAAAAAUGUGUGCGUUUAUCCAGAAACAUAGGACCUUGGCUUACCAAUGGAUAAAUGCAAGCUUUAGUAAUUGAUCUUGUUAUGAAUAGGCCUAGAUAAGUAUUGACAAAGCGGUCCACACUGAAUUAAGUGUCCAUGUAUGGAAUUCGGGUUGAUAAUUAAAGAAAAGUGAAAGCAAAAGAGGGUUAUACAAAUUGUUGAGAAAAAUGUCUACCCUCUCAUCCCCUUCUAUGAGUUCUACUUCUAAUACCCUUUCUUCUACUUAUGAUUUUCAAUUUCUAUUUAGUUCUUAAAUUCCUUUGUAAUUCUAAUUAUGAGUUAGUGAAAUAGAUUUGUCGGUUGUUUGAAUUUGAAUUGAGUUGGCCUUGGUAUUGAAUUUGUUAUGUCUUUUACUUUGGGUUUCAUUUUCACACUUUAAAGAAAUUUAUUAUUUUAUAUAUUGAUGAGGGAUGAAUGUCAUACUUUGUCUCGCUCAAAUAUUAUUACACCUCACUCCUAUGUAC